rnacentral:rRNA from 1 species
GGGUCAGUAGGUUGGUCGUGCCACCGGUACGUACUGGUCUCACUGAUUCCUCCUUCCUGAAGAACCGUAAUGCCGUUAAUUUGGUGUUGCGGGGAAACAGGACUGUUACUUUGAAAAAAUUAGAGUGUUUAAAGCAAGCUAAAGCUUGAAUACAUUAGCAUGGAAUAAUGAAAUAGGACGAUCGAUCCUAUUUUGUUGGUUUCUAGGAUUGACGUA